CUUUCAGAUGCUCUCUAAUGAAGGAUCAUCUUGGCAGCUGUAUCCAUCCUUUUAUUUAUCUCUUUGAAAGCUUGAAAAUUGUACAGCUAUCAAUAAUAAACAAAGUCAUAAUCAGUUAAUAAAUAUAUUUGAACAUGAGAAAUGAAUAUAAAAUUCAAUUACACAAGUUACAAACAAACUACACAUUUAAAAAAAUUAGAAGAC
rnacentral:lncRNA from 1 species